rnacentral:rRNA from 1 species
UGCAGUCGAACGCCCCGCAAGGGGAGUGGCAGACGGGUGAGUAACGCGUGGGAAUCUACCGUACCCUACGGAAUAACGCAUGGAAACGUGUGCUAAUACCGUAUACGCCCUUCGGGGGAAAGAUUUAUCGGGGUAUGAUGAGCCCGCGUUGGAUUAGCUAGUUGGUGGGGUAAAGGCCUACCAAGGCGACGAUCCAUAGCUGGUCUGAGAGGAUGAUCAGCCACAUUGGGACUGAGACACGGCCCAAACUCCUACGGGAGGCAGCAGUGGGGAAUAUUGGACAAUGGGCGCAAGCCUGAUCCAGCCAUGCCGCGUGAGUGAUGAAGGCCCUAGGGUUGUAAAGCUCUUUCACCGGUGAAGAUAAUGACGGUAACCGGAGAAGAAGCCCCGGCUAACUUCGUGCCAGCAGCCGCGGUAAUACGAAGGGGGCUAGCGUUGUUCGGAAUUACUGGGCGUAAAGCGCACGUAGGCGGAUAUUUAAGUCAGGGGUGAAAUCCCAGAGCUCAACUCUGGAACUGCCUUUGAUACUGGGUAUCUCGAGUAUGGAAGAGGUGAGUGGAAUUCCGAGUGUAGAGGUGAAAUUCGUGGAUAUUCGGAGGAACACCAGUGGCGAAGGCGGCUCACUGGUCCAUUACUGGCGCUGAGGUGCGAAAGCGU